rnacentral:misc_RNA from 1 species
AGAACGUAUGGAUUGCCUAAAGCGAGGAUGUCACAAUUAAAGUUAGAAUCGUCAAUUCACUUCCUUAACCAUUUCAAGGGAAAGAGGUAAUUUCUCUUUCUUUUGGUUUUUUAGAAGAAUUCAAGUAUACCUAAGUGUAUGAGGUUGUUUCAUUUUGAAUUUAAUGUGAUUUUUACAUGAUUUUAAGUUUUGAUUUUGGGAAAAG